rnacentral:tRNA from 1 species
UCCCUGAUGGUCUAGUGGUCAGGUUUUGGCGCUCUCACCGCCGCGGUCCGGGUUCGAUUCCCAGUCAGGGAA